rnacentral:lncRNA from 1 species
CUCAUUUGUAAAUAUAAAUUUGUCUCAAAAGAUCAACAUGAUACAUCCAUGAAGUCACUAAGUUGAUUGGUAUAAUGGGUGUCCAAAUUAUGACAGUCAGACGUUUAAUUCAUCCUAGUUGAGCUAAACUGAAAGGCCGAUGUUGCUGGCCUCUGUUAUUGGAGAGGCAGAGUGGGCAGGCAGUGGAGCACUGCAGCUGCACCUCCG